rnacentral:rRNA from 1 species
AGCAGCCGCGGUAAUUCCAGCUCCAAUAGCGUAUAUUAAAGUUGUUGCAGUUAAAAAGCUCGUAGUUGAAUUUCGGGAUUCUACCGUCGGUCGGGCUAACAAGUCUGUACUGGUGUGUAGAAUUUCUACCUUCUGGGGAACCAUCAUGUUAUUAAUUUAGCGUGGUGGGAAACCAGGACCUUUACCUUGAAAAAAUUAGAGUGUUCAAAGCAGGCUUACGUCUGAAUACAUUAGCAUGGAAUAAUAGAAUAGGACGGUGGUCCUGUUUUGUUGGUUUCUGAAUCACCGUAAUGAUUAAUAGGGAUAGUUGGGGGCAUUAGUAUUCAAUUGUCAGAGGUGAAAUUCUUGGAUUUAUUGAAGACUAACUUCUGCGAAAGCAUUUGCCAAGGAUGUUUUCAUUAAUCAAGAACGAAAGUUAGGGGAUCGAAGACGAUCAGAUACCGUCGUAGUCUUAACCAUAAACUAUGCCGACUAGGGAUCGGACGAUGUUAACCUUUAUUGACUCGUUCGGCGUCCUACG